AGAGUUUUCUCCUGAAGAUUUGUCUCUCGAAUUUUCUGGAGAUACACACUUUUCCAGAGAUUUUAAGACCCAAAGUUCACGGCAUUCUUAAAAUAGUAAGUUCUUUCUCCUCUUCGAUUUCUCUUGAUGUUGAAUUUGUCUUGUUGGGUUCCGUUCAUAUCUUAUUUAAUUAGGGUUUGAUGCAAUCGAUUGGGUUUUUACGUUUUAGUUUUAGGGUUUCAAGUUUCCUUAAUCGUUCAUGUAUUUACUGUUGCAGUGAUCUUGGAAAGCGCCUGAAUUCGUCUGGAAUCAUCAUUGAGGCAACGUCUCUGUCUACGCGAAUUGUUUUUGUUCUUCUAUCGUUGAGUAUACGAAGACGAACAUGUCUUACGAACUGUAUAUAUUUUAGCAAUUGACAUGAAAUUGAACAAUAAUAUUUGAUUUACAGUAUAACUUAGAACUUGGCCGUGCUUUAGAUUUGGGCUACUUGAUGUUCUGUUAUCUAUAUCUUGAUCACUUGAAAUUGGUUUGUAUAAAGCUAUUGCUUGUAUACAUACGUUUCUUUCUUAUGUAUUCUUUGUACAAGUGGACAAUUACAUUUCACUUUAGCCUCUUUCUCUCUCUGUUUUUUUGUUUUACAGAAUGUGGAUGUGGAGAAACCAUCAUUGACAGAUUGAUGAUAAGUGUGAAUCUUUGAGUUCAACGGCCACAAAAAGCAGAUAAGUUCUCUUACAUUACGUUUUUUUAUCAGACUCCAAAAAGAUCAUAGGCAGACACUAAUCUAAUAGUGUUCUAGCCAGAUUCUUAUUUUGGGGACAUAUUGUCCCGAGUCCCUGUUGCGUGAAAGCUAGCUUAGUCCCAAUAAAAAAAUCUAAAUCCAUCUCCCUAGAAACUGUUGGUUGGUUGGUAGUGCAAAGAGAUGUUUGGCGGGGGAUGGAGAGUAACACCUACUUUAGUACCCACGGCUUUUUACAAAACAACCAUCGGCUUAAAAUAGUCUUAAGACAGAAAAUGACCAUGGCUAUGAAAGGACCAUCGGCUUACAAUGUCUUAAGGCAAAAGGCUAUGAAUUGGUUAUGAGCUUGUUGGAUGGAAAUAACGAUCACAAGUGAUGAAAACUACUUGUCCCGAGUCCCGUUGCGUGAAACUGUUGGAUGGAUAUAACGACCACAAGUGUUGAAAACUACUUGUCCCGAGUCCCGUUGCGUGAAAUAACGAACAAAGUUAUGAAAAGUAGUAAACCCACGGCUUUAUUAAUAUUGGAAUGCACGGUUGGAGAGAAGUCUUCAGACAAAGACUACUUUAAAUCUAAACCAUGUCCAUUGCUUAACCACAACUCAAUGAAGCAAAGGAUGUUUGAGGGUGCAAAGUGUGAGAAAAUUUAGUACCCACGGCUUAAAAAACAAGUCUUUAGACAGAGACUGUGAUUGUAAGAAACUCUUUAGACAGAGAAUAUAUUCAUUACAUUAGUACCCACGGCUUGCAUGAAAGUCUUUUGACAAAGACUGUGAUUGAAAACGUCUUCAUCGCAUUUGUACCCACGGCUUGCAAAAAAAAAUCAUUUGACAAAAACUGUGAUUGAGAACGUCCUCAUCACAUAUAUACCCAUGGCUUACAAAAAAAAGUCUUUAGACAGAGACUGAUGAAAAUGUAUUCAUCACAUUAGUACCCACGGCUUAGAAAAUACCAACGCCUUUGCAAAAAAAGUUUAAGACAGGCUAUGAGAUCGUCCCAAUUGCUCUAAAAACUAUUGGUUGGUAGUGCAUGUCUAUGCGAGAGAUGUUUGGGGAUGGUAAGUAAAACUUACUUUCGUACCCACGGCUUUACAAAAUUUCUUCAGACAGAACAUGACUAUGUCUAAGGCUAUGAGAUCGUUGAAAAAAUUCCUUAACACAAAGGCUAUGAAUUGGUUUUAAAUAACGAUCACAAGUUCUGAAAAGUAAGUAAACCCACGGCUUUAUCAAUAUUGUUAUGUACGGUUUGAAAGAAGUCUUCAGACAAAGACUACUUUAAAUCUAAACCAGGUCCAUUGCCUAACCACAGCUCUAUGAAGCAAAUGAUGUUUGAGGGUGCAAAGUGUGACACAAUUUAGUACCAACGGCUUAAAAAACAAGUCUUUAGAUAGAGACUGUGAUUGUAAGAAAGUCUUUAGUACCCACGGCUUUUUAUAAAACAACCAACGGCUUAAAAUAGUCUUAAGACAUAAAAUGACUAUGGUUAUGGCUAUGACUAUGAAAUUGAUGGAUGGAUAAAGAACACCGGCUUACAAAAUGUCUUUAAGACAAAUAGGCUAUGAAUUGGUUAUGAGCUUGUUGGAUGGAAAUAACGACCACAAGUUAUGAAAACUAAUUGUCCCUGAGUCCCGUUGCGUGAAACUGUUGGAUGGAUAUAACGACCACAAGUGAUGAAAACUAAUUGUCCCGAGUCUCGUUGCGUGAAAUAACGAGUUUAGUGCCCACGGCUUAAAAAACAAGUUUUUUGAUAGAGGCUGUGAUUGAAAACGUCUUCGUCAUGUUAGUACCAACGGCUUAAAAAAACAAGCCUAGUACCCACGGCUUAAAAACAAGUCUUUAGAAAGAGACUGUGAUUGUAAGAAAGUCUUUAGACAAAGACUGUAUUUAUCACAUUAGUAGACACAGUUGCCAAAAAAGGCUUUUACACAAAGACUGAUUGAAAACGUCUUCAUCACAUUAGUACCCACGGCUUGCAAGAAAGUCUUUUGACAAAGACUGUGAUUGAAAAUGUCUUCAUCGCAUUUGUACCCACGGCUUUGCAAAGAUUGUGAGUGAACACAUCUUCAUCACAUUUUAGUACCUACGGCUUGCCAAAAAAAAGUCUUAAGACAAAGACUGUGAUUGAAUAUGUCUUCAUCACAUUUGCAAGAAAAACUCGUCUUCAUCACAUUUGUACCGAAGGCUUGCAACUGUGAUUGAAAACGUCUUUGUGACAUUAGUAUCCACGGCUUGCAUAAAAGGUCUUUUGGCGAAGACUUCAUCACAACAGUACCCAAGGCUUGCACGAAAGUUCUUUAGACAAAAGACUUCUUGAAUCUAAACCGGAUUCAUUGCUUACCCACGUCUAUGUGAAGCAGAUGAUGUUUGGGGAUGCCAAGUGUGAUUAGUACCCACGGCUUGCAAGACUAUAUUUAGAGUGCAAAAGUCUUACGACAAGACUAUACAUUGAUUUUCAACUUUGUUGGAUGGAAAUAACGACCAACGGCUUUAUAAAAGUCAAUCAACGACUUAACAUGGAGUCUCAAGGCAAAUGCUAUGAAUGGAACACACAGCUUGCGAAUCUUUCGUUGGAUGGAAAAACGACCAACGGUUCAGAAAACGUCUUUUAAGGCACAAGACUACGAGUUGAAAAACAUUUAUAGUAGCCCACGACUUAUAAAAGGUUGGAUUCAUUAAGUACUCACGGCUUAUAAAAACAACUUUAGGCAAAAACUCUAAAUCUAAACCAGAUCCAUUGCUUUAUCCACAGCUCUAUAAAGCAAAAAGAUGUUUGAAGAUGCCAAGUGUGACAAAAUUUAGUACCCACGGCUUAAAAAAAAACAAAUCUUUAGACAAAGACUGAUUGAAAAAACGUUUUCAUUACGUUAGUACCCACGGAUUCAAAACAAGUCUUGAGACAAAGACUGUGUGAAUCAUCAAAUUAGUACCCACGGCUUGCGAUAAAGGUCUUUAAACAAAGACUGUGAUUGAAAACUUUUUCAGCACAUUUGUACCCACGGCUUUGCAAAAUGGACUGAUUAAAAUAUCUUCAUCACAUUAGUGCUCACGGCUUGAAAAAGAGGUCUCUUUAGACAAAGACUGUGAUUAAAUAAGUUUUCAUCACGUUUGUACCCACGGCUUAUGAAAAUAGUAUUAAGACAAAGGCUGGUAACUGAAAACAGAUGCAUGCCAAAAAGGUCUCUUUACACAAAGACUAUGAAUUGGUUUUGAACUUGUUGAAUGGAAAUAACGAUCACAAGUUAUGCAAACUAAUCGGAAAAUCUUGCUCCCACGGCUUUAUUAAGGGUUUGAGAGAAGUCUUCAGACAAAGACUCUACAUCUAAACCAGAUCCAUUACUUACACACAGCUUUAAAAGUCCAGCACCCACGGCUUAAAAAAACAAGUCUUUAGACAGAGACUGUGAUUGUAAACGUAUUUGUACCCUCGGCUUGCAAGAAAGGUCUUUAGACAAAGACAGUGAUUGAAAACGUAUUCAUCACAUUUGUACCCACGGCUUGCAAAAAAAGUCUUUAGACAGAAACUGUGAUUGUAAACGUCUUCAUCACAACAGUACCCACGGCUUUGCAAGAAAAAGAUUGUGAUUGAAAACGUAUUCAUCACAUUUGUACCCCACAGCUUUGUAAAAAAGUUCUAGACAAAGACUGUGAGUGAACAAGUCUUCAUCACAUCAGUACCCACGGCUUGCCUAAAAAUAAGUUUUCAGACAAAGACUGAAUGAAAAUGUCUUCAUCACAUUUGAACUUGUUGGAUAGAAAAAAACAUUCAGUCCCAUAAAGCAAGCCUUAAGAAAAAGACUAUAUAUAACCUUAUUUUACACUUACAGGGUAACUAUGAGGCAUUUUGCGUCAACUAAAGACUAAUUAGAUUUAUGAUUUCCUCAGGUUUUGUAUGUGCUUCAGAAGACUCAGAGACGAUUUCAAGUGUAUCAGAUUUCUUUGACAGGUAUUGUUCGUAUCCUCAUUGACGCUUGUUCAGGUUUUGUGUCUGGAACAUAUUGUGAUGGCUGGAACUGUGUGAAUUGUUUCAACAAAGUUGACAAUGAACCUGCAAGACGAGAUGCUGCUGAAACAACUAUGGAGCGGAAUCCAAAUGCGUUCAGUCCAAAAAAAUUGCUAGCAGUCCACAUGGUGUUAGAGAUAAACUCAUAAAAGGGAGGAGAUUGGUAAAGUUGUAUUGUUAGGGAAACAUAACAAAGGAUGUCACUGCAAGAAAUCAGGAUACUUUAAGAAGUAUUGUGAGUGCUUUCAAGCAAACAAUCUUUGUUCAGAGAACUGGGAUUGCAAAAACUUUGAAGGAAGUGAGGAGAGACAAGCUCUGUUUCACGGUGAACAUGCCAACAACAUAGCUUAUCUCCACCAAGAAGCAAAUGCAGCCAUACAUGAAGCUGUUGGUUCCUCUGGCUUUUCCCUUUCUCCAGAACCUUAAAAUUGUAUAGGGACUUCAAGAAUCUAAACACGAAGAAGCUACUCUUCCUGAUUUUGAGGUUCAACUUUGACAGCAUUUCAAUCGGCUUCCUGCUAGGUAAUCAAUCAUAUUCUGCUUACUCUACAUUGAUUUGGCUGGUUCAUUAGGGUUUUGUUUUCUCUUGAUUUGAUCAAUUAGAUUAUAGAAUAGAAGGUUUUACAUUCAGAGGCAGUGUAUCUUCUUCUAGAACCUGGCAAACAAGCACAGAAUGUGGUUUCAUCCUCCAAAAUCUCCAGUCAGAACUUUCUUUUGUUCUUCAAUCCCUAAGGGCUCAUCCGAAUGAAGUUGUGAAAGUAAUGUUCUUCUUUUUUUUUUUUUUUUUUUUUAAAGUAAUGUUCUUCGAUCAAAUCAAAACGAUCGAAUCAAAAUUUAAGGAUAUUUUACCCAUAGUGAUAUCCCUUGGCUUAUUUUGGGUUGAUGAUUUCAUGUUGGAUAUUGAGAUAAAUUUUGUGAACUUGGAGAACCUCUGUGAUGAUUGGGGGUUCAAAGAGAAUGAGAUCAUAGACGCCCAUAAUAUGCUACGGUCUACACAGGCAAACCUAGCAGUGCUUGAAGGAAAGAUAAUGUAUGCUUUGCUCAUUACUUAUUUACAAAAAGAGGAAGCCUAUGCUAUUGUCUCUCACAUUGGUAAAAUUAUUUUUCUUCUAAAGACGCACAAAGGAUUGUACGAGAGAAACAUAGCAAACUAGAUCAUACUAGGAGAGAUUUAGUUUACUCCGGACUGCAUCCAUAGUAUGGCCUAACUCAGCCUCAGAAGUUAUAUUGACGGGUUCAUUUGAUGGUUGGUCAACCCAGGCCAAUUCAUACCAAUAAAAGAAAAAAAAUUGGAUUAAUCAAACUGCUUCACAUCCACUUAAUUUGUUUUAUGAUUUUGCAAGCAGAGUAAAAUGAAGUAAGCACAGAUAUAGUCUUCUUUUUAUACUUGUGAUGGAUAUGAAAACAAUCUGAUCAUCAUCUCGUGAGAUCAUAGACAACAAUAUUGGAGUUAAUAUUGUACCGGUUAUUAAUGUUUGUAUGUUGCAUUAAACCGGUGUGAACCGUCUUAGUAUAUAAGUGAUACAUUGAUUGUUAACAGAACGUUGAAUCAGAUCAUCAAUAACAAACUUUAGUUUUUCAUCAUUUCUCUGAGCUUGAGCUCAGUUCUUCAUCAUCUAAUAAACAACAUUAUAGAGAUAAUUUCACCGUUGUUCAAAAAAAAAAAAAGAGAUAAUCUCACCAUCCAUGGAGCAUGGCAGCAUGCAC